rnacentral:rRNA from 1 species
UACGUAGGGAGCGAGCGUUAUCCGGAAUUAUUGGGUGUAAAGCGUGUGUAGGCGGUGAUAUAAGUCUAAGGUUUAAGCCCGGAGCUCAACUCCGGAUCGCCUUAGAAACUGUAACACUUGAGUAUGGUAGAGGUAAACGGAAUUUCUAGUGUAGCGGUAAAAUGCGUAGAUAUUAGAAGGAACACCAGUGGCGAAGGCGGUUUACUGGGCCACCACUGACGCUGAGACACGAAAGCGUGGGGAGCAAAUAG